AUGCCCGCCGAUGCCAAGCCCCGCGCCCUCCUCCCCGUCCGCCCGCUCCUCCUCCUCUCGAUCCCCUUCCUCUCCCUCCUCCUCCUCUACGGCUACUCCUCCUCGGCCCCUCCCCUCCCCAACGCCCGCGCCUCCCCGCCCAACCCGCACAUCCGCAUGCGCCGCGGCGCCGCCUUCCGCUCCUACGACGACUACCUCCGCCACCAGCUCAACAAGACCCUCGACCCGCGCCUCCGCCGCGUCUGGGCCACCCGCGACUGGCGCCGCAAGGUCGACGCCUUCGCGCGCGCCUUCCGGGCCCUCCAGGCCGAGGGCCUCCUCUCCAACGCCUCCCGCGCGCUCUGCGUCGGCGCGCGCCUCGGCCAGGAGGUCGCCGCGCUCCGCCUCGUCGGCGUGCCCGACGCCGUCGGCAUCGACCUCGCACCGGCGCCGCCGCUCGUCGUCAGGGGCGACUUCCACGCGCAGCCCUUCGGCGACGGCGCCUUCGACUUCGAGUUCUCCAACGUGUUCGACCACGCGCUCUACCCGGACCGCUUCGUCGCCGAGAUCGAGCGCACGCUGCGCCCGGGCGGCGUCGCCGUGCUGCACGUCGCGGUGCACCGCCGCGGGGACAAGUACUCGGCCAACGACCUGCUCGACGUCGACGGCCUGCUCGCGCUCUUCCGGCGGUCGGAGGUGGUCAGGGUCUCCAAGGUCGACGCCUUCGGCCUGGACACCGAGGUCGUCCUCCGCAAGAAGAGGUCACCCUAG
rnacentral:rRNA from 1 species